CGAAGGGUCCAAGCGUUAUCCGGAUUUAUUGGGUUUAAAGGGUGCGUAGGCGGCUUAUUAGGUCAGUGGUGAAAGCUCCAUGCUUAACAUGGAAAUUGCCAUUGAUACUGAUGAGCUUGAGUACACUUGAAGUGGGCGGAAUAUGUCAUGUAGAGGUGAAAUUCUUAGAGAUGACAUAGAACACCGAUUGCGAAGGCAGCUCACUAAAUUGUAACUGACGCUGAGGCACGAAAGCGUGGGGAUCAAACAGGAUUAGAUACCCUGGUAGUCCACGCCCUAAACGAUGAUUACUAGAUGUGUGCAAUAUACAGUACGCGUCACAGCUAAAGCGUUAAGUAAUCCACCUGGGGAGUACGGUCGCAAGACUG
rnacentral:rRNA from 1 species